GACGAACGCUGGCGGCGUGCCUAAUACAUGCAAGUUGAGCGAUGAAGCUUGGUGCUUGCCCCAAUUUGAAGAGCAGCGAACGGGUGAGUAACGCGUGGGGAAUCUGCCUUUGAGCGGGGGACAACAUUUGGAAACGAAUGCUAAUACCGCAUAAUAACUUUAAACAUAAGUUUUAAGUUUGAAAGAUGCAAUUGCAUCACUCAAAGAUGAUCCCGCGUUGUAUUAGCUAGUUGGUGAGGUAAAGGCUCACCAAGGCGAUGAUACAUAGCCGACCUGAGAGGGUGAUCGGCCACAUUGGGACUGAGACACGGCCCAAACUCCUACGGGAGGCAGCAGUAGGGAAUCUUCGGCAAUGGACGAAAGUCUGACCGAGCAACGCCGCGUGAGUGAAGAAGGUUUUCGGAUCGUAAAACUCUGUUGGUAGAGAAGAACGUUGGUGGGAGUGGAAAGCUCAUCAAGUGACGGUAACUACCCAGAAAGGGACGGCUAACUACGUG
rnacentral:rRNA from 1 species